UCUAAUAUGGCAGAAUAGUGCAAUGAACUUAAGAUUCAAAUAUAAAGUUAAUCUUUUAUUAGAA
rnacentral:tRNA from 1 species